GUGAAUCAUCAAAUUUUUGAACGCAAAUUGCACUCCCUUCGGAGAGUAUGGCUGUUUGAGGUCCAGCCUCAUAUAAAUCGACGUAGUCGCUGUUUUGCGGUGACUCUCGCCGGCACUUGGGUCAUCUUAAACCUUUGGGGUUUUUAAGCGGCUUAAAGUUUUCUUUACGAUUCAACUAACGAUUCU
rnacentral:misc_RNA from 1 species